CGAGCACGCGCGUGUGGCAUAUCAAUAAGCGGAGGAAAAGAAACUAACAAGGAUUCCCCUAGUAACGGCGAGUGAAGCGGGAAGAGCUCAAAUUUGAAAUCUUCAAGGGUUUCCCUUGACGAAUUGUAGUUUAAAGAAGUGUUUUCUGUUAGAGAGGUGGUAAAAGUUCUUUGGAAUAGGACAUCAUAGAGGGUGAGAAUCCCGUAUUUGAUCACUUUCUACUAACGUUGUGAUACACUUUCAAAGAGUCGGAUUGUUUGGGAAUGCAGUCCAAAAUGGGUGGUAAAUUUCAUCUAAAGCUAAAUAUUGGCGAGAGACCGAUAGCGAACAAGUACCGUGAGGGAAAGAUGAAAAGAACUUUGAAAAGAGAGUUAAACAGUACGUGAAAUUGUCAAAAGGGAAGCGUUUGACACCAGUGUUGUUUUUCCGAAAAUCAAUUAUGAAUGGCUUGAUUUUAAGUUUCAUGACCUUAAAAGCUUGUUUCUUAUUUUUCAUGUCUUUCGUAAUGCACUUUUCGGUUAACAAGUCAACAUCAAUUUCUUUUGUUGUAAAAGGUUAAGAGGAAGGUGGCUUUACUUUCGGGUAAAGUGUUUAUAGCCUUUUAACUCUGCAAUCAGAGAGAUUGAGGUCUGCAGCGUAGAUCCUUCGGGGUUAGAUACAUUUGUGCUAAGUUAUAGCUUUUCAUAGACAACUUGUUGACUAUGUUAAGUCUUGUAAUUUACUCGCAGAUGCUAUUUUACCUACGCUUAGGAUGUUGAGUCAUCACACAUCUCU
rnacentral:rRNA from 1 species